AUCCAUUUAAUCGGCAAAAUAGAGAAUGAAAUAGGUUCUUCCUUGUGAUCCACAAAGUGAUAAUUUGAGACAGGUGGUACUGGUAAGGUCUCAGCCUCAUCAUCUGAAGACGCCAUUACUCUAUUGUAGUUCCAGUCCUGCUACUUAACAACUAAAUUCAAUGAGUGGAAUAACAAAAUAAAAAAUGACUAAAAAUCCGACCUACAAUGAAAGAGAAUA